rnacentral:lncRNA from 1 species
UUUAAUGCCUAUCAGUGUCUACCACUGGAGCUUUACUGUAGUACCUGGUAUUUUGUCACCCUACUUAUUAAAUUUUGCUUUCCUUUCCUAGCAAUCACCUCUUUGUUUGCAGGUCCACCCCAAACCCUUCCUACAAGAUCUUUUUUGAUCUGUAAAGCCUCCUCCAAACAGAGCUCUUUGUCUGAAGACACCGAUCUUUUCAAAGCUCUAAUUACUUCUGGAGGCCCCUUGGUGAACUGCCUUAGCCACGCCUGUGCCUCUUGCAGACAGUCGGCCUUGUCGGAGGAGCGCAGGACCUCUUCCACCAUCCCCAUGCUCAGGGCUUUCACCGCAUUCAGGUGGACGGCUCCACUUAGCACCUUGAGGGCCUGCCUGGCGCCCAGGAUCUCCACCAGGACAAUAAAGAUGCUGCAAGCAAGAUGGCACCCGGUGAAAGAGCCUGAGCAUGUGCACAUGUGAACCAUACAGAUAACUGAUAGAUGCAUGCAUACAAAACCUGAAACCGUGAGUAGAGUCUCAGAACUUAACUAUCAAGAAGAUGGUGUACAUAAAGCUAUGGCUCCAGAUUUGAUGGACUGUAUUGCUGAGCCACAUAGGCACAUAGCUCAAAAAGAUACUGAUUGAUGGUCAAAUCAUGCUUCUCAAAAAAUAAAUAUAUAAAGAAGGGAUAGAACAUGUCUAGCCAAUAAUGCAUGUUUUAGUCCUGUCCCCAGGGACAAGGCUUAUAAAAUAUUUCUAUAAAAUAUUAAGUUUGCACAUUUAUGAUCUAACACCAAAAAUAUCUUUUCUCUCCCUUUCUUUCAGAGAGUAAUUUAAGUAAUUCAUCUAAAGUUGCAGAGCAAGGGGGAAUGAAUGCCAAGGACUAUUAUUUGUUAGAGGUAUGUUUUCUACUAAAUUUAGAUACCUUGUUUAAAAUGAGUUUUCUUUUACUAUGUACAGAGUGUGUCUCUUUUUCUCUUUAUUUUUAUAUCGUUUCUUAAACCAUUAAAAAAUCAGUGGUCAGUGACUAAAAUAGAUGUGUUUCUGACCAUUGAGAAAAUCAUAUGUUCAUAUGUUCUGGUGGUGGUUAUUUGGUAUUUUUAUAAUAAUAGAAGGUUAUUUUUUUUUUUUUUUUUUCAGGAAAGAAUCCUGCAGAGCUCUGACUGAAGAGGACAUUCUAAAACAGCAGUUUUGGGCAGCCCGGGUGGCUCAGUAGUUUAGCGCCACCUUCAGUCCAAGGCGUGAUCCUGGACACCUGGGAUCCAGUCCCACAUCAGGCUCCCUGCAUGGAGCCUGCUUCUCCCUUUGCCGGUGUCUCUGCCUCUCUCUCUCUCUCUCUCUCUCUCUCUGAAUAAAUAAAUAAAAUCUUAAAAAAACACAGCAGUUUGAAACAUCUGUUCAAGAAUUUAAUAGCCCCUUUACAUGCACUAGCAUUUUGAGCUAAAGCUAGAAUAUAAGUCAUAAAGGCCUUCUCCUGCCUCCAAUUUAAAUGAAGGUGAAACCAAGAGUGCCCUUGGAUUCAUUCAACAUCCUUCCCCUGUGUGUUGCACACUUGAAAUAUCCCUUCUUCACUUGCCAUUUCACAUGCAUUACUAUUAUGGUCGGCAACCAAAACCAUCACCAUCAUACUUCAAUAAUAAAUAAAUUUAUAAAAACUAAUGCCUGGUCCUAAGUACCAUCUCCCCUUUGACUUUAAAAAAAAUCUUUAUUUAAUUAAUUUGGCGUGAGACUGAUGAUCCUAAUGUGUAGUCCAGGAAGUAAUCUUUUUUAAUGCUGUAUGUAUUGUUUUUUUUUUGGAAAGUACAAUUAAUAUACAAUAUUAUAUUAGUGUCAGAUAUACAACAUUGAUUCAAUAAUUCUAUACUUAGUCCUUAUCAUGACAAGUAUAGUCACCAUCUGUCACCAAACGUUACUAAAAUAUUAUUGACCAAAUUCCCUAUGUUGUACCCUUCAUCUAUGUGGCUUAUUUUUUCCAUAACUGGAAGUUUGGACCUCAUAAUCCCCUUUAUCUAUUUUACCCAUUCCCUACCCACUUUCACUCUGGCAACCAUUUCUUUUGUCUCUAUAUUUAAGAGUCUUUUUGUUUGUUUGUUUGUUAAAGUUAGAUAUGAAUGCAAGUAGAGAAAAAUUAGAUUAUCAAUAACCAACUAUAGAGGAACAAAAUAUCUAAACAUCUAGAAUAAUAAUAGAAAAUGUUAAGAUUUUUAGACUCUCUGUACUUGGCUAUAGAUAAUCUAACUUUGCUCCACUCCCAUUUAUCCCAACUUCAAC